GCUUAACACAUGCAAGUCGAGCGAGAAUCGUUUAUUGAAGGCUUCGGCUGGAAAUAGAUGAGGAAAGCGGCGAACGGGUGAGUAACGCGUGGGCAACCUGGCCUUAAGAAAAGGAUAGCCCCCGGAAACGGGGAGUAAUACUUUAUGAGAAUGAAAGAGGGCAUCCUACUUUCAUUCAAAGCGCAAGCGCUUAAGGAUGGGCCCGCGUAUCAUUAGCUAGUUGGUGAGAUAACAGCCCACCAAGGCAACGAUGAUUAGCCGGUCUGAGAGGGCGAACGGCCACAUUGGAACUGAGAGUCGGUCCAAACUCCUACGGGAGGCAGCAGUGGGGAAUAUUGCGCAAUGGAGAAGAACUCUGACGCAGCAAUACCGCGUGAGCGAAGAAGGUCUUCGGAUCGUAAAGCUCUGUUAUCAGGGAAGAAGAAAAUGACGGUACCUGAUGAGCAAGUCCCGGCUAACUACGUGCCAGCCGCCGCAGUAA
rnacentral:rRNA from 1 species